ensembl:rRNA 5S_rRNA 5S ribosomal RNA
GCCAGCAGCCAUAUCACCCUGCAACUCACAACUGGCAACUCACUGAAGCUAAGCAGGUGUGAGCCUGGUCAGUACCUGCAUGAGAGACCUCCUAUGAAAAACUAAGGUUGCUGCUGGAA